rnacentral:rRNA from 1 species
GAUUAUGGCUCAGGAUGAACGCUAGCUACAGGCUUAACACAUGCAAGUCGAGGGGCAGCAUGUAUCUGGCUUGCCAGAUACGAUGGCGACCGGCGCACGGGUGAGUAACGCGUAUCCGACCUGCCGCACACUCCGGGAUAGCCUUGCGAAAGCAAGUUUAAUACCGGAUGCCGUAAGGACGCCGCAUGGUGUUUUUACGAAAGGGGUUUACCGGUGUGCGAUGGGGAUGCGUCCCAUUAG